GACGAACGCUGGCGGCGGGCUUAACACAUGCAAGUCGAACGGAAAGGCCCUGCUUUUGUGGGGUGCUCGAGUGGCGAACGGGUGAGUAACACGUGAGUAACCUGCCCUUGACGUUGGGAUAACUUCAGGAAACUGGGGCUAAUACCGGAUAGGAGCUCCUGCUGCAUGGUGGGGGUUGGAAAGUUUCGGCGGUUGGGGAUGGACUCGCGGCUUAUCAGCUUGUUGGUGGGGUAGUGGCUUACCAAGGCUUUGACGGGUAGCCGGCCUGAGAGGGUGACCGGCCACAUUGGGACUGAGCUACGGCCCAGACUCCUACGGGAGGCAGCAGUGGGGAAUAUUGCACAAUGGGCGGAAGCCUGAUGCAGCAACGCCGCGUGCGGGAUGACGGCCUUCGGGUUGUAAACCGCUUUCGCCUGUGACGAAGCGUGAGUGACGGUAAUGGGUAAAGAAGCACCGGCUAACUACGUG
rnacentral:rRNA from 1 species